rnacentral:rRNA from 1 species
GAUGAACGCUGGCGGCGUGCCUAAUACAUGCAAGUCGAGCGAACAGACGAGGAGCUUUCUCCUCUGACGUUAUCGGCGGACGGGUGAGUAACACGUGGAUAACCUACCUAUAAGACUGGGAUACCUUAGUGAAACCGGACCUAUUACCGGAUAAUCUAUUUAACCGCAUGGUUCAAUAGUGAAGGACGGUUUUGCUGUCACUUAUACAUUGAUCGGCGCCGCAUUAGCCAGUUGGUAAGGUAACGGCUUACCAAGGCGACGAUGGGUAGCCGACCGGAGAGAGGGACGGGCAAAACGGGACCUGGGCAACGGCCAAGACUCCUACGGGAGGCAGCAGUAGGGAAUCUUCGGAAAUGGGCGAAAGCUGACCGGAGAACCGCCGCGGGAGUAAUGAAGGUCUCCGGAUGGUAAAACUCUUUUAUCAGGGAGGAACAAAUGUGUACGUAACUAGGCACGUCUUGACGGUACCGGAACAGAAAGCCACGGCUAACUACGUG